UACGUAGGGGGCAAGCGUUAUCCGGAUUUACUGGGUGUAAAGGGAGCGUAGACGGCAAUACAAGUCGGAAGUGAAAUACCCGGGCUCAACCUGGGAACUGCUUUGGAAACUGUAUGGCCGGAGUGCUGGAGAGGUAAGCGGAAUUCCUAGUGUAGCGGUGAAAUGCGUAGAUAUUAGGAGGAACACCAGUGGCGAAGGCGGCUUACUGGACAGUAACUGACGUUGAGGCUCGAAAGCGUGGGGAGCAAACAGG
rnacentral:rRNA from 1 species